CAAGUUGAUAUCUAAAGUUGGUCU
rnacentral:miRNA from 1 species